rnacentral:rRNA from 1 species
UACGUAGGGUGCAAGCGUUAAUCGGAAUUACUGGGCGUAAAGCGUGCGCAGGCGGUUCUAUAAGACAGAUGUGAAAUCCCCGGGCUCAACCUGGGAACUGCAUUUGUGACUGUAGAGCUGGAGUACGGCAGAGGGGGGUGGAAUUCCGCGUGUAGCAGUGAAAUGCGUAGAGAUGCGGAGGAACACCGAUGGCGAAGGCAGCCCCCUGGGCCAACACUGACGCUCAGGCACGAAAGCGUGGGGAGCAAACAGG